UACGGAAGGCAGCAGGGGGAAUAUUGCACAAUGGGCGAAAGCCUGAUGCAGCUAUGCCGCGUGUAUGAAGAAGGCCUUAGGGUUGUAAAGUACUUUCAUCGGGGAGGAAAAAACAAAACUAAUAAUUUUAUUUCUUGACGUUACCCGAAAAAGAAGCACCGGCUAACUCCGUGCCAGCAGCCGCGGUAAUACGGAGGGUGCUAGCGUUAAUCAGAAUUACUGGGCGUAAAGAGCACGUAGGUGGUUUUUUUAAAGUCAGAUGUGAAAUCCCUGGGCUUAACCUAGGAACUGCAUUUUGAAACUGAAAUACUAGAGUAUCGUAGAGGGAGGUAGAAUUCUAGGUGUAGCGGUGAAAUGCGUAGAUAUCUGGAGGAAUACCUGUGGCGAAAGCGGCCUCCUAAACGAAUACUGACACUGAGGGUGCGAAAGCGUGGGGAGCGAAACAGGGAU
rnacentral:rRNA from 1 species